GAACUACAAGGGAGGAUCCUGCACGCGCGCACACUGAGCGGAUCAACGUGCGUCUACCCUUCGCCGAGAGGCGUGGGUAACCCGCUGAACCCCACUCGUGAUAGGGAUUGGGGAUUGCAAUUAUUUCCCAUGAACGUGGAAUUCCCAGUAAGCACGGGUCAUAAGCUCACGUUGAUUAAGUCCCUGC
rnacentral:ncRNA from 1 species